AGAAAUGAAAUGAUAUUGUUAUGUGCCAUCUUCUACCUUUUUUCUUAAUAAAACUCAAGAAAGACUAUUCUAUGUUUCUGUACUCCAUGACAUUUAUAAGCAUUGCAUCCAAGAUAAGUAAUGUACAAUAAGAACACUGAUUAAAAUGUAUCAAAUUUAAAAAAUGGGAUUAUCCCCAUUCAGAAUUGACUUGAUAACUUCUCUGUUAAGCACAGUGACCAUAUUUUGUUCAAAAAAAUAAAGGACACACCUGAAAAAGGAGUAUACCUGAAAGAGGUUGAUAUGGAUAAAAAAAUAUUAAAUGAUAAAGGAUUAAAAAUGUUAAUCCUAAAAUGAUUAAUAGUAGAUAAAUUUUCAAGCAGUAAACAACCUAAUUAAGUAACUACCAAAGAGAAAGAAACACCCCUAACCACAAGCUAUUGUCCAGAAACCUUCCGAAGCACCUGAAGGCAUUGACAGGAAAGAAGAUCUGGUGCUAUCAGAACUUGCCUCAUAUCGUGACCCGUCAGAUGCGCGCCCAACAAAAGCGCACCAACAAAAGCGCACCAACAAAAGCGCAGCAAGAAACCCUCAACAAUGUUGCCAUGUGCCCAAAUGUUUAUCAUAUGACCAUGCAGGCACUGCAACAACCAGCCCAGGUCAUAACUGCUUUCUAUCAACACCAUUGUAACUUUGAAUGGUCGUGGAGUGACUAGUCAUUAAGCGAGGAUUAACUUCUAUAUAAAACGAAGAGAAAACCCCACUCCCUUAUAGUGCCAAAGAUGCUACCUAGCCAAGUAAUGAAAUAUCUGUAAGAAAACAGCCAAGCUCAGAAAGCACCAAUGAUUCAACAAGGCAACCCCAAGUUACAUAUAUUCUACUGGUACCACAUAUAUUGGCAUUGAACACAAAAACACGCAAAUGAGAGAAAUUUGCAUGCAGGCAAACCUCCACUAAGGAACAAAUAUUUUGUCCGCAUCGAUGCCUAAAACAGCGUUUCCUGUCCACCAGUCUAAGAUACAAACCUCCAAUAAACUGCACAGCUAAGUGGAAAAUACUGGGCAAAAAUGAUACAGCUGACCGUUAUGGAUGUUAAUCUCAGAUUAAAUUUGAACACACCAUGGAUAACUUCAGGGACAAAAAUGAGCAACCCAUUCCUUCUCCCAAAGAAUGUUGUUUCAUAUUAUUUUCUUAAGUAGAGUAACUGCUAAUAAACUUGGCAGAAGGUUGCCAUGUUUAUUUAUUAAAUUUAUAUAUCUCUGUCCAGAGCAACACUGGGCAUUGUACAAUGCACUUUUGUGCUUUAACAACUAAUCUUUUCUAGUUUAAAGCAGAGUAAAAUGUACCUUCCAAAUGUCCUGCAAUGGCUACUCUGUUAACAUUUCUAAUAGUCUGGCUACUGAUAUCUUUCUGACAAUGUCUGGCAACUCUUCUUCCUUUAUCCUUCAGCUUUUGUUCAUGCACCAUCUAUCACUGCUUACCUUUGUCACACAUCAUCUAAAAGGACAACUUGUCUAUGAGUCUAUCUGGCCUGGAGACCAAAAGAAUAAAAGUCUCCCCCUAGGCUGAAUGCAGUUUUCCUUGAUAGCAUUUGUUUUUUUCAAUUUUUUUAUUUACCAAAGAUAGAACAAAAAAUGCUGUUUAUUUGCAGAACAUUUUCCAAAGAAAGGCACUUCAAACCACCACAAAUUCAGAAAUGCUUUUGUAGCCUUUCCAGAACCUACACUUUUAACUAGGACAUCUCCUCAGUAGUUUCAUAUUCUGCAAGGCAAAAGUCAUAAAAAAUUUUCCCCAACCAGUCUUUAAGGAAGAAAAGAAAAAGAAAAGAACUUUUAUCAUAUGUGCCCCCCCACCCUAAUCUGGUUAACACUGGUUUCCAACAACAACAAAAGUAUCAAACUAUAGUUAACAAAAUGUCCCAAAUUAGUGAUAGUGAGCAAAUGUUUGAAUCACAGUUAGGAUUUAUUUAAGCCAGAUUUUAGUAAGAAGGGGUUGUAGGUGUAUGGGUUUGCGCACAAAUGCAUCCACAAUACUUGUUUCUAGUGUGAAAGCACACACACACAGACACACACACACACACACACACACACAAACACGUGUACUAACAUCAGAACUUUUAUUAGUUGAAAUGCUGUCUUGUAAUGAGUGAUCCAUUUACUGAUAUGCAAGGCCAUAAAGUGACUCUAGAUGGCAUCAAACCUCUGUUUGGAAUCUUUUUGCUGCCUCUGAUCAAAAGUUAUUCCUAAAGACUACACAGCAGAGAAGACACAAAACUAUUUGCCCAGUACUAACUACAGGUGGGAUCCCAGAGGAACAUUUGGGGUCUCUUUUUGUCUGAACAUUCUUAAAACACUUUUUUUUUACAGUAAUCUGACUUCUCUAACAAAAAUGUGUGUGCUAUCAGAUCUUUCUGCCUGUUGAAGCCAUCACUGCUGCGUUGGCCAUGGUUUCUUGCAUCCUUUUUUCCUUUCAAGAGACAAUAUGGGAGAGUAAGCUGCAACAGAUGCAUAAGGCCUUUGACUGCUAACAUUUGAAGCUCUCCAUACAGAAGCGCAUCAGACCAUUAGGUGCCAAGGAAUCAGAAAUUUGGGAUGUUUCCCAAAUUUAGUGGCCAUUGCACAAUCUCUGUCUUAUUCAUUCAAUAUUAUAAGGGAUAUAGAUAGCUAUGUGCUCCUUUUGUAAUCAUCACUUUUUCCUACCCCUUCCAUCAUUUUUCUGUCCAGAGAAAAUGUUUUAGUAACAAUAGCAGUCAUCUAUCUAGAAGUCCUGUAAACCCUGUGCCAAUCCAAUAAACCUAACAGGAGGGGAGAGAAGAGGCAGAAAGCCACCACUGGUAAAAAGCUGAUUAUUAGAAAUUACAGUGCUUUGCAUAGAUUUUAGGAAUUCUGCAACAAAACAACCCUCCACAUAUUAAAUAUAAUAAUGCCAGUACUACUCUCUUUCACACAUAUCCAGGCCGUAAUAUAUGUGUGAAACUGAGUAUGAACUAACUUGGCUAAAUCAGUAUUGUUUAGGAAAAUGACUGUUUUAACAAUCAGAUAUUAAGCUGUUUUUCUGAGUAAAAAGACCAGCUUUUCACAGUGACAGGAAAGGUAGCACUAGAUGUCUCUUUCCACUCUAGGCACAGUUGGAAAGAAAAACUUUAAGGGCUCUCCAACAAUCCAGAAGGAAGGGCACUCUGGUUUGGAAUAUUAGCUGUACUUCUUCCAGGCACUUUCUUGAAAAAAAUCUUUAAGCAGAUAUUUGGCUGACAUGUUUAUUCACAUUGCAAAUUCUCUUCUUCAUUUAUAAUUUGGUUUGCCAUCAUUGUAUUCCAUUUGAUAGUGAAUUUAUUCCCUUUUAAAAAUGUUUUUUUGGUGUGUGAUGAUAGUUUAAAAUUAUCACCUUGACUAUAUUUAUACCUUGGUUUCCUAUUUCAAAAUUAAAGAAAAAACAAAUAUCACAUACUCCUCUCUUUAUCCCAUAUAAAGGUAAUCCUCCACAUAUUAUAGCAAUUGGGACCUGAAUUUUCAUCGCUAAGCAAUGUAGUUGUAAAGCAAACUGCAUUGCUUAAUGACGGCAAUCUCUGCCGUCCUGGUUGCCACUUGUUAAAUGAAUCAUAUGGCCAGAGGGGUGCUAGGACAGCUGGAAUUCUAAGGACUUCAAUAAUUUUGAACAGUCACUGAAUGGAAUGGUCGUAGGCCAAGGACUACUUUUAUGAGUAAUCUAGAAUUGCCACAUAACAGCUCAUAGUUGGGGGACAGCUUCUUAGUUCAGGAGCUUUCUUUUUGUGUGAAAUUCCUUAUGCUUCAAAGAUUGCUGUUUACUCUCAUUCUUUUGGAUUGGGUGAAAUACUGCAAUAAAUGUAUUGCUAUAUAUUCAGGAAGAAAUAUUCUGUUUGACGUGCAAUCUGUUUGACUCUUCCAAUCUUGCAAUUCCUGACGCACAUGGGAACUUUAAAGUGUAUAGGAGACAAUCUUAGACAAAGGACUUUUCCCAAUUGCAGAUGAAAUCCCAACAUUUUUGGAAUGAAUUCAGUUCCACAGAGGGCUUUUGGUCAAGGCAGCUGACAAUCAUGAUUAAUGCAGCCUCCUUAUCAAACAUUUCCCUUUCAGAAGUGUUAUCUAGCAUGUGAGGCUUUGCCCUUGACUUUUAUCUUGCUCAAUAGAAUAUAAAGAAUUUUCCCACCCUGAAAAAGCAAACAAUGCUCUGAUUCAGAAAAGAAAAAUAGGACAGGCUUGAGAUUUUCAAGCACAAUUUUUUACUUUUAAUAACAGUGUAGCUGAUCAACUAAAAAAAAUAAAUGAAGCUAAAACAAAAGCCAAAUCUAAAAAUGAGAACACAAACAUUCCUCUAGUUUCUAUAAAACCUCCUUUUCUAGUUGCACUCUUCGAGAAAGCAGAACUAUGAGGAAAUUAUACACACAAAUAUACACCAUUCUCUCUCAUGUGCAGUUCCCACGCUUGGGCCCAUUCUCCUGAGAUCUGCCUCACUGAGAAACUGCGGGUAGUAAUAACUGGUUAGUUAUAUUUGAUUUUAACUGCUACAGCAAUAGUAACAAAAAGAUAUUGUAGUAAAAUGUAGUAAAAUCAGGCAUUUAAACUUUACUAGAUUUGAUAUGGCAGAGGCUUCCAAAGAUGAGAAAGAAGGCCUGAUACAGCAAAUGUCACUAUCAGAUACUCAAUUUGUCUUUGCUGUGAUUUUUUUAAAAAAAGAAAGGGCGGGGGACAGGUUGGCUUGAUUCAAACAAUCAGAAUAGAUUUCUAAAUGGCUCCUUACAUAUUUGAAUUGUUUUGUCUUUGUGUGUGUGUGUGUGUGUGUGUGUGUGUGUGUGUGUGUACUAAGUAUUGUAUACUAAGUAUUAGUAUUGUGUCUCAUACUAAGCCAAGGACAGAUAAUAGUCUCACCCUACAAUCAAGCUGGGAAUUCCUGGGAUUCCAUUCCCAAGACCCAUUGAGGACACCAACUUGGACAUGGCUGAUAUAGGUCUUUAUGUGGAUUGUCAUAUUCGGGAGGAGGGGGGAAUCCUGACUUAUCUCUUCAACCAAUAGGGCUGUCAUCUGCCUCAUCUGCCUUUCCUAAUCAUACUACAUCCACAGAUAUUAUAGAUGA